ensembl:lncRNA
CACGAGUUGUUUUAUUCGGGCUCUUGGCGCCUAUUGUAAACAACUUAUUCACAUUUAAAUCAAAUGGACCCUGGCAGUGGGACAGACGCGGUUGGGAAAAGCAGAGCCCGGACACACAUGUGCCCCAAAGAUUGUUUGUAAAAAGCGUAUUGUUUAACUCUCAUAUAGGCUACUGUACAUUUCACAUGCAUUUGUGGAAAAACGUGUGAUGUCCAUUUCACCAUGCGCGUGCACAUGCGUGCCAAAACUGAACAUGACAAUAAAGUAAUCAUGGUGGGGGGGGUACAACAACAACUCAUGCAUGACUAAAACGUGUCUAAAAACUAUUUUACACGUGUGAAGUCCGUGUGAGUUUUGCAUCCUUUAGCCUAGUGCAUUUAUUUCCAGAGCAAUUCUGAGGAAAAAUUAAUACAGACAGAUUAGACAGAGUAUCUGUCUAAUAACUGUAGAAAUACUUUGUUACAGCCUAUAAACCAAUAGGUUUACUGAUCACGCUAUAAUACAAGCUAGAGCUUUCGAGCUAGAAAUAAAUAAAUAAAUAGACAAAUAAAUAAAUAAAUAAGUAUAGCUAAACCUAAAAUGGUAGGUUUGAUCACCACUCGUUUUGUCUGCGGUAAAUACAUUUCCUGCAGAGUUUCUAGUGAACAACAGAGGGCGCUACAGGAACACAUGACCUGCUCUAUAGGCUACAAUGGAUUGUAGUGGAAGAUGACCAAACGACCAAAUUCAUUGUGUGUUUAUAAUUUUCACAGUUUGUGCUUGAAUCAUGAUUUUUGAAUCUUUUUUUUGGUGACGGUCCGUUUUAUAACUAACAUUCUGCAUUGCAUUCAAAGUGUUAAAUGUGUUUUAAUACAAACUGAGAGCACGAGAGAGGAAAAAUAACCAACACAAUUUGCACCACUAGUGGUUGACCCUGCAUCUGUGUAGGGUGGGGUGGUCUAGGACAAUAUGGCCUGUUACUAGACCCUUGUGGUUAAGUGAGUGACAAGGGCUACAUUUUUACUAACCAUCUGACUAGAGGUGCGUAAAUUUACUAGGCUACAAAAUGU